UACGUAGGGGGCUAGCGUUGUCCGGAUUUAUUGGGCGUAAAGAGCGUGUAGGCGGCCAGGUAGGUCUGCUGUGAAAACUCGAGGCUCAACCUCGAGACGUCGGCGGAAACCAUCAGGCUAGAGUCCGGAAGAGGAGAGUGGAAUUCCUGGUGUAGCGGUGAAAUGCGCAGAUAUCAGGAAGAACACCCGUGGCGAAGGCGGCUCUCUGGGACGGUACUGACGCUGAGACGCGAAAGCGUGGGGAGCGAACAGG
rnacentral:rRNA from 1 species